UACGGAGGGUGCAAGCGUUAUCCGGAUUCACUGGGUUUAAAGGGUGCGUAGGUGGGCUAGUAAGUCAGUGGUGAAAUCUCCGGGCUUAACCCGGAAACUGCCAUUGAUACUAUUAGUCUUGAAUGUUGUGGAGGUAAGCGGAAUAUGUCAUGUAGCGGUGAAAUGCUUAGAUAUGACAUAGAACACCGAUAGCGAAGGCAGCUUACUACAGGAUGAUUGACGCUGAGGCACGAAAGCGUGGGGAGCAAACAGG
rnacentral:rRNA from 1 species